AGACGACACCUCCUCGGGACCCAGGCGAGCUCUUGGUUCAGCUCUCAGGGCUUGGACCAAGGCCAGGUAUUCCAACUCCUUGUGUGCCUGGGAGCAAGGAGCCUUUGCGCUCAGCAGUUAUUCCAGAGACAUUCCAGCUUCAGCUUCGUAGGCAAAUCUUCCUUGAGAGGAUAUCAAGUCCCAUCUUCGGAUGUCGAAAGCGGUUACGGAAGUCCCAGCACAUACGGUUCAGCGUCGUACACACUGCAUACUCACAUCUCCCACCUCGCACAGCACGCUAGCAACAUCAUUAGGACGAGCAGACGACCAAGACAGUGUCACGGAGCACACGCAACUCUGACCGGGGGCGGCAAUCAGAGCGGCUUUCUUUAGGAAACAAUGCUACUAGAAAACAUAACAGAAGUCAUUUAAAAUAUUCAAGACACAUUAAAUGCAUGACUGUGACUCCGAACUGCCAUAUAGUAUGCUUUGUAUUUAGCAUGUUAAAGCAUCCACCCGCCCCCACUAUGGAAUGUUAAGCUGACACGCAAGAGAGUCAAAGCCUCCUGUUACACGCAAGAGAGUCAAAGCCUCCUGUUAGUCAAUAUCCCACUCUUUUCUAGUUGUACCAAAAAAUAAACAUCCUGUAAAUGAUUUUGCCUCUUUAAAAAAAAUAAUUUACACUGGGACCAGCAAUUAGCAUAAUGGC